rnacentral:rRNA from 1 species
CAGCAGCCGCGGUAAUACGGGGGGGGCAAGCGUUGUUCGGAAUUACUGGGCGUAAAGGGUUCGUAGGUGGCCGGCUAAGUCAGACGUGAAAUCCCCGAGCUCAACUCGGGAACUGCGUCCGAUACUGGUGGGCUUGAAUCCGGGAGAGGGAUGCGGAAUUCCAGGUGUAGCGGUGAAAUGCGUAGAUAUCAGGAGGAACACCUGUGGCGAAGGCGGCUUUCUGGGCCUUACCUGACGCUGAGACGCGGAAGCGUGGGGGGCGAGCCGGAUUAGAUACCCGGGUAGUCCACGCCGUAAACUAUGGACACUAGGUGUGGGGGGUAUCGACACUCUCUCUGUCGUGGCAAAUGUGUUAGUGCCCCGCCUGGGGAGUACGGCCGCAAGGCUGAAACUCAAAGGAAUUGACGG